rnacentral:rRNA from 1 species
UACGUAGGGUCCGAGCGUUGUUCGGAUUCAUUGGGCGUAAAGGGUGCGUAGGUGGCGCCGUAAGUCGGGUGUGAAAUUUCGGAGCUUAACUCCGAAACUGCAUUCGAUACUGCGGUGCUUGAGGACUGGAGAGGAGACUGGAAUUCAUGGUGUAGCAGUGAAAUGCGUAGAGAUCAUGAGGAAGACCAGUGGCGAAGGCGGGUCUCUGGACAGUUCCUGACACUGAGGCACGAAGGCCAGGGGAGCAAACGGG